UACGGAGGAUGCAAGCGUUAUCCGGAAUGAUUGGGCGUAAAGCGUCCGCAGGUGGCAUUUCAAGUCUGCGGUCAAAGGUCGAGGCUCAACCUCGAACAGGCCGUGGAAACUGAAAAGCUAGAGUGUGGUAGGGGCAGAGGGAAUUCCCAGUGUAGCGGUGAAAUGCGUAGAGAUUGGUAAGAACACCGGUGGCGAAAGCGCUCUGCUAGGCCAAGACUGACACUGAGGCACGAGAGCAUGGGUAGCGAACAGG
rnacentral:rRNA from 1 species